GAUGAACGCUAGCGACAGGCCUAACACAUGCAAGUCGAGCGGCAGCACCUCGGGUGGCGAGCGGCGCACGGGUGAGUAACGCGUAUGUAACCUGCCCAUGAGUGGGGGAUAGCCCGGUGAAAACCGGAUUAAUACCCCAUGACACCAUUGUCUGACAUCAUUUAAUGGUUAAAGAUUCAUUGCUCAUGGAUGGACAUGCGUUGGAUUAGCUAGUCGGCGGGGCAACGGCCCACCGAGGCUACGAUCCAUAGGGGUUCUGAGAGGAAGGUCCCCCACAUUGGUACUGAGACACGGACCAAACUCCUACGGGAGGCAGCAGUGAGGAAUAUUGGUCAAUGGGCGGAAGCCUGAACCAGCCAAGUCGCGUGAAGGAUGAAGGUAUUAUGUAUUGUAAACUUCUUAGCUGUGGAGAAAUAAGGGGCAUGCAUGCCCUGAUGCUAGUACACAGAGAAUAAGGAUCGGCUAACUCCAUGCCAGCAGCCGCGGUAAUACGGAGGAUCCGAGCGUUAUCCGGAUUCAUUGGGUUUAAAGGGUGCGCAGGCGGUGCCUUAAGUCAGCGGUAAAAUCGUGGGGCUCAACCCCAUCCCGCCGUUGAUACUGGGGCACUUGAUUACGGUCGAGGCAGGCGGAAUUCGUCGUGUAGCGGUGAAAUGCAUAGAUAUGACGAAGAACACCGAUUGCGUAGGCAGCCUACCAGGCCGUUAAUGACGCUCAUGCACGAAAGUGCGGGGAUCGAACA
rnacentral:rRNA from 1 species